CUGACGGCGAAGGGGCAGAACCCUUCUCCGCAACAUCUACUCCGAAAGCCCCACGAGCGCCCAGCAGCCACUCAGAACUGUCCGCCCCGCUUCCCACACCGGCCAGGGCAGGAGCGUGUGGGAGUCAGAACGGACAGCUGCGGGGUCACUGCGGCUCCCAUCUCAACUUUUCUGCAUCUGCAGACUCUGCUCAGGCCCCCCAGGAAGCUGCCACCUGCCAGCACGAGUGCAAAGCCAACGCCUCCUCAGCCCCGGGAGCUUUGCCUCGGCCACUGCAGGAGCGGUCCCCUGCCAAGGCCCUUCUCCUCUGAAGAAACACAACCGAGACCACGUGAGAAGUAGCUACAGUUUAAUACAAACCUGCACCAGAA